rnacentral:rRNA from 1 species
UACGUAGGGACCAAGCGUUGUUCGGAUUUACUGGGCGUAAAGGGCGCGUAGGCGGCAUGACGAGUCACUUGUGAAAAUCUCUGGGCUUAACCCAGAACGGCCAAGUGAUACUGUCGCGCUAGAGUGCGGAAGGGGCAAUCGGAAUUCUCGGUGUAGCGGUGAAAUGCGUAGAUAUCGAGAGGAACACCUGAGGUGAAGACGGGUUGCUGGGCCGACACUGAACGCUGAGU